GGGCGGUUAGCUCAGUGGUAGAGCACUACGUUCACAUCGUAGGAAUCACAAGUUCGAAACUUGUAUCACUCGCCA
rnacentral:tRNA from 1 species